rnacentral:rRNA from 1 species
GAUGAACGCUGGCGGCGUGCCUAAUACAUGCAAGUCGAGCGAACAGAUGAGGAGCUUGCUCCUCUGACGUUAGCGGCGGACGGGUGAGUAACACGUGGAUAACCUGCCUAUAAGACUGGGAUAACUUCGGGAAACCGGAGCUAAUACCGGAUAAUAUAUUGAACCGCAUGGUUCAAUAGUGAAAGACGGUUUUGCUGUCACUUAUAGAUGGAUCCGCGCCGCAUUAGCUAGUUGGUAAGGUAACGGCUUACCAAGGCAACGAUGCGUAGCCGACCUGAGAGGGUGAUCGGCCACACUGGAACUGAGACACGGUCCAGACUCCUACGGGAGGCAGAAGUAGGGAAUCUUCCGCAAUGGGCGAAAGCCUGACGGAGCAACGCCGCGUGAGUGAUGAAGGUCUUCGGAUCGUAAAACUCUGUUAUUAGGGAAGAACAAAUGUGUAAGUAACGAUGCACGUCUUGACGGUACCUAAUCAGAAAGCCACGGCUAACUACGU